UUAAGCGACUAAGCGUACACGGUGGAUGCCCUGGCAGUCAGAGGCGAUGAAGGACGUGCUAAUCUGCGAUAAGCGUCGGUAAGGUGAUAUGAACCGUUAUAACCGGCGAUUUCCGAAUGGGGAAACCCAGUGUGUUUCGACACACUAUCAUUAACUGAAUCCAUAGGUUAAUGAGGCGAACCGGGGGAACUGAAACAUCUAAGUACCCCGAGGAAAAGAAAUCAACCGAGAUUCCCCCAGUAGCGGCGAGCGAACGGGGAGCAGCCCAGAGCCUGAAUCAGUGUGUGUGUUAGUGGAAGCGUCUGGAAAGGCGCGCGAUACAGGGUGACAGCCCCGUACACAAAAAUGCACAUGCUGUGAGCUCGAUGAGUAGGGCGGGACACGUGGUAUCCUGUCUGAAUAUGGGGGGACCAUCCUCCAAGGCUAAAUACUCCUGACUGACCGAUAGUGAACCAGUACCGUGAGGGAAAGGCGAAAAGAACCCCGGCGAGGGGAGUGAAAAAGAACCUGAAACCGUGUACGUACAAGCAGUGGGAGCACGCUUAGGCGUGUGACUGCGUACCUUUUGUAUAAUGGGUCAGCGACUUAUAUUCUGUAGCAAGGUUAACCGAAUAGGGGAGCCGAAGGGAAACCGAGUCUUAACUGGGCGUUAAGUUGCAGGGUAUAGACCCGAAACCCGGUGAUCUAGCCAUGGGCAGGUUGAAGGUUGGGUAACACUAACUGGAGGACCGAACCGACUAAUGUUGAAAAAUUAGCGGAUGACUUGUGGCUGGGGGUGAAAGGCCAAUCAAACCGGGAGAUAGCUGGUUCUCCCCGAAAGCUAUUUAGGUAGCGCCUCGUGAAUUCAUCUCCGGGGGUAGAGCACUGUUUCGGCAAGGGGGUCAUCCCGACUUACCAACCCGAUGCAAACUGCGAAUACCGGAGAAUGUUAUCACGGGAGACACACGGCGGGUGCUAACGUCCGUCGUGAAGAGGGAAACAACCCAGACCGCCAGCUAAGGUCCCAAAGUCAUGGUUAAGUGGGAAACGAUGUGGGAAGGCCCAGACAGCCAGGAUGUUGGCUUAGAAGCAGCCAUCAUUUAAAGAAAGCGUAAUAGCUCACUGGUCGAGUCGGCCUGCGCGGAAGAUGUAACGGGGCUAAACCAUGCACCGAAGCUGCGGCAGCGACGCUUAUGCGUUGUUGGGUAGGGGAGCGUUCUGUAAGCCUGCGAAGGUGUGCUGUGAGGCAUGCUGGAGGUAUCAGAAGUGCGAAUGCUGACAUAAGUAACGAUAAAGCGGGUGAAAAGCCCGCUCGCCGGAAGACCAAGGGUUCCUGUCCAACGUUAAUCGGGGCAGGGUGAGUCGACCCCUAAGGCGAGGCCGAAAGGCGUAGUCGAUGGGAAACAGGUUAAUAUUCCUGUACUUGGUGUUACUGCGAAGGGGGGACGGAGAAGGCUAUGUUGGCCGGGCGACGGUUGUCCCGGUUUAAGCGUGUAGGCUGGUUUUCCAGGCAAAUCCGGAAAAUCAAGGCUGAGGCGUGAUGACGAGGCACUACGGUGCUGAAGCAACAAAUGCCCUGCUUCCAGGAAAAGCCUCUAAGCAUCAGGUAACAUCAAAUCGUACCCCAAACCGACACAGGUGGUCAGGUAGAGAAUACCAAGGCGCUUGAGAGAACUCGGGUGAAGGAACUAGGCAAAAUGGUGCCGUAACUUCGGGAGAAGGCACGCUGAUAUGUAGGUGAAGUCCCUCGCGGAUGGAGCUGAAAUCAGUCGAAGAUACCAGCUGGCUGCAACUGUUUAUUAAAAACACAGCACUGUGCAAACACGAAAGUGGACGUAUACGGUGUGACGCCUGCCCGGUGCCGGAAGGUUAAUUGAUGGGGUCAGCGCAAGGCGAAGCUCUUGAUCGAAGCCCCGGUAAACGGCGGCCGUAACUAUAACGGUCCUAAGGUAGCGAAAUUCCUUGUCGGGUAAGUUCCGACCUGCACGAAUGGCGUAAUGAUGGCCAGGCUGUCUCCACCCGAGACUCAGUGAAAUUGAACUCGCUGUGAAGAUGCAGUGUACCCGCGGCAAGACGGAAAGACCCCGUGAACCUUUACUAUAGCUUGACACUGAACAUUGAGCCUUGAUGUGUAGGAUAGGUGGGAGGCUUUGAAGUGUGGACGCCAGUCUGCAUGGAGCCGACCUUGAAAUACCACCCUUUAAUGUUUGAUGUUCUAACGUUGACCCGUAAUCCGGGUUGCGGACAGUGUCUGGUGGGUAGUUUGACUGGGGCGGUCUCCUCCUAAAGAGUAACGGAGGAGCACGAAGGUUGGCUAAUCCUGGUCGGACAUCAGGAGGUUAGUGCAAUGGCAUAAGCCAGCUUGACUGCGAGCGUGACGGCGCGAGCAGGUGCGAAAGCAGGUCAUAGUGAUCCGGUGGUUCUGAAUGGAAGGGCCAUCGCUCAACGGAUAAAAGGUACUCCGGGGAUAACAGGCUGAUACCGCCCAAGAGUUCAUAUCGACGGCGGUGUUUGGCACCUCGAUGUCGGCUCAUCACAUCCUGGGGCUGAAGUAGGUCCCAAGGGUAUGGCUGUUCGCCAUUUAAAGUGGUACGCGAGCUGGGUUUAGAACGUCGUGAGACAGUUCGGUCCCUAUCUGCCGUGGGCGCUGGAGAACUGAGGGGGGCUGCUCCUAGUACGAGAGGACCGGAGUGGACGCAUCACUGGUGUUCGGGUUGUCAUGCCAAUGGCACUGCCCGGUAGCUAAAUGCGGAAGAGAUAAGUGCUGAAAGCAUCUAAGCACGAAACUUGCCCCGAGAUGAGUUCUCCCUGACCCUUUAAGGGUCCUGAAGGAACGUUGAAGACGACGACGUUGAUAGGCCGGGUGUGUAAGCGCAGCGAUGCGUUGAGCUAACCGGUACUAAUGAACCGUGAGGCUUAACCUU
rnacentral:rRNA from 1 species